GCCCGCCGCGCGCGGCGGGCGGGGCGGGGGCACGGGGGGCCUACGGAGGCAGCAGUGAGGAAUAUUGGUCAAUGGACGAGAGUCUGAACCAGCCAAGUAGCGUGCAGGAUGACGGCCCUAUGGGUUGUAAACUGCUUUUAUACAGGGAUAAAGUAGGGAACGUGUUCCCUUUUGCAGGUACUGUAUGAAUAAGGACCGGCUAAUUCCGUGCCAGCAGCCGCGGUAAUAAU
rnacentral:rRNA from 1 species